CAUCAAUGCUCCCUUCAAGAUGGGGUGUCAUAAUACAGGGAAGGGCUCUUGAUCCAAGGAAUUAGAGCUUUCCUUCCCUGCCUUGGCUCAAAUCUGAUUACCCUCAACCCAUUUCUUUUCCCAGGCUAACAGUGCUCUGUAGCUUAAAGAAUGCUUCCAUGCUUAUUAUCUGGGGAAAUACCCUCUGCAAAGCUAGCAGCUCUCCAGCGAGUUCUUCAGUCAGAGUUUCUAACUGCAGUGCGGGAAGUGUACGAGCAUGUAUACGAGACUGUGGACAUUUCAGGCUCUCCUGAGAUUCGAGCUUCUGCCACAGCAAAAGCCACUGUUGCUGCAUUUGCUGCAAGUGAGGGUCAUGCUCAUCCAAGAGUUGUCGAAUUGCCCAAGACUGAUGAAGGGCUCGGGUUUAAUGUGAUGGGUGGCCGGGAGCAAAAUUCCCCCAUAUACAUAUCUCGCAUCAUCCCAGGAGGCGUUGCUGACAGGCACGGUGGCCUCAAACGAGGAGAUCAGCUCCUGUCUGUGAAUGGAGUGAGUGUUGAGGGUGAGAACCAUGAGCGUGCCGUGGAGUUGCUGAAAGCUGCCAGUGGCUCCGUUAAACUGGUGGUCCGCUACACCCCCCGAGUCUUGGAGGAGAUGGAGAUGCGCUUCGACAAACAGCGGGCGUCACGUAGGCGAACUUCCCAGUUACAGUAGAGAACCCCCUAGUGAAGGACUGGCGUGGGCUGAUGUCACUCCGUGCGAGAGAUGGGGCACAGGCAGAGAGCCAGCCAGGUGGAGGACAGUGGAACUGAGCACUAUAUUUCAGAGUACAGCCCAGUAGAACAAGUUUCACUUGGAGACCAAAAAUUGACAGACACUUCCAUUUUGAGAUAGUGUCAAUACCUUGAAUAUUUACAGCCUUGUUAAGAGGGUUUCUCUGCUUCAGCACCGGCUUCACCUCAUCAAAUGUUAAAAUAAGUUUCUGUCCCUUUCAUAUAGCAAGAUAUUCCUGUGUUUUUGUAACAAUUUGAUGUUAGCUCCCAAUUUAGGAUUUUCCUGUAGUGUUUACCAUUUGUCAUUUAAUGAAGUUUGAAGUUUUGAUUCUGGAGAAUCUCUGUAUUUUAUAAUCAUUGCGAUUACAGUUUCAGACAGCUUUAAUGGUAUAUGAAAUAGUCUGAUUUGUAAAUAUUCAGAACAUUUUUGAAUUAACAAGUUGCAAUUGAGCAUUUACUGAGAAUACCGUCAUUAAAAUAAUAAUGUGUUCAUGUAAGCCUAAAUUUGUUUUAUGAAACUUUGUAUAUUGUGUGUAGUGAUUUCACUGACAUGUGAAAUUGAUUUCAUUAUAAAAAAUUUGCCUUUAAUAUAAAGAAUUCUUUUGUUUGAUUCUCAUUUUGCUCAGUUGAAUGGCACUUGUGGUAAGGCAAGGAAGAAGCUCAGGUAAAUCACAGCUUACUGAGUUGAUUUGAUUUUUGUGAUUGUGCAGUAUUAGAUUUCUCCUGCUCUCUUUCCUCAUCCCCAUUUCUUUCCUCACCCCUUUCUUUCCCCCAUUUUUUCCCUAACCUUUUUCUUUCCUCUGCCCUUCUGCAAAUUUACCAUACCCUACUUCUCUUACUCUAAUGACAGAAUAUUUUCAGACUAACUGAGAAGAAUUGGACCAAUAUAAUAUUGUUUUGAAAGAAAGAAUUUGCUUGCUAAUUCACAGCAUUUCUACAUUUUUAAUGUUUUGUGAAUAUUUCUAAUUUAAAUAUUGGAAGCCCUUCUUAACCUAAGAUUUACCCUUAUUUGUGAUAUUUAUACACUAAAUUACUGUAUAUUGAAUUUUAUUUAUUUAAUAUAAUUAUAAAGUUAAGGCAGCUAUCUGUACUUUUAAAAACGAUCAGUGUCAGAUCUUAGCAUGUGAUAAUUCCUUGGCCUUUCACUCUGGAGUCAUAGAACUCCACGCCAUGUUACAAUUACCUAAAUUAUAUAUUUUAUUUCCUGUGUGCUGUAGGGCAAUGAUUUUUAAGGAGUGUGAAUAGUAAUGAUACAAUCAGAACUAAGCACUAAACCCACAAGGGGAGGAGUGUGACUGUCAUAAUUGAAACCAUACCGUGGUUUGCAGUCAUGUCGCUACGAUUUCGUGAAUCAGUUAUAUUUUUUAAUUUUUGCGUUUCCACAGAUCUGAUUUUUCCAAGGAUCCUCUUGAUGUCUUUGUGGAUGCCUGGGGGUUUGUGAACCAGUGCUAGAGGUUAUUUGUGUGAAGAACUUUUAGGGGAUUUAUUAGUAAUUAUGUUUGGCUCUUUGCAGUGUUUAAUACUCUUCCAGUCCUGUGCUUAAAUGUCCCUAUGUUGUAGUAAAUCAUCUUCUGCUAGGUUUAAUAAAUACUACAGUACAUUUAUAAUAUUCAGUUUUUAACUUGUGUAACUAAUGUCUUACAUGGCAGGUUCAGCUUAACCCUUAAACUGUCCAAACGUAGAUCUACGUUCACAUGCGUAGCGCUCCGAUCUUGAUUUUCCCCAUUUGAAAGCAUGUAAAAAAAAAAUAGAUCUGCGUUCGGAGCCCCCUGCAUGUGGACAUAGAUCUACGUUUGGACAGUUUAAGGGUUAAGGAAAGGGACUGCAUCUAGAGAUGUUUUCAUGGCCAAACUAUAUCUGUAGACAAACCAGAAUUUCACAUUUAAGUAAAGAUAAAUGAUUACGUAUGAGUGAGGUGAAAGCUUUGAAUGAUGAUGAAAGUACAGUAUUUUCGUUUUGGGGAUUUUUUUCUUUUUGUGUCACCCUGCCUCGGUGGGAGAUGCCCAACUUGUUGAAAAAAAAAAAAUGGACAUUGGAAAACUCAUGAUCUGGUGAUCAUUACAUUGAUUAUUAGAAGACUGUUUUUUGUUUCAUGUGUUUUAAGCUAUUUUCAUAAAUCAAAAUAGUCUAAGAUGCUUUCUAUUAGUUAGCAUUUCAAAAUCAGUUCAAAGUUUGAUUUAUAGUCUUGUACAUCAACUUUGUAUGAAACUUUUAAAUGUUUUAGAAGUUAAUUACCAGAAGAAUGCAAAUCGAAAUCAUAUGUAAUAUAGCAACACUAGAGCCAGAAUUAUGUAAGAGUAUGUACCAUUUCAAGCUUGCCUAACUAUUCUUGUUUUUUGCCUAAUAAUUUUUGGGGCAGAAAGUAUCUGUUGCCAUUAGAUUGUAUUUUAAAAGAACGCUACAGUAUCUCCUAUAUCAUUGUUUAACAAGUUUACAUUAUUUCCAAAAUUAAUUGGAUAAUGUUUCCUACACACUGCUAAUUUUACACUAUAUUAAUGACAGUAUGUGUCAAGCAAAAUGAGGUGCUUGGAUUGGAAAUACAGUGGACCCCCGCCUUACGAUCAGCUCCCAACUCGACCAGUUAUGUAAGUGUAUUUUUGUAAGUGCUUUUGUAUGUGUAUUUUUGGGGGUCUGAAACGGACUAAUCUAAUUCACAAUAUUCCUUAUGGGAACAAAUUCGGUCUAUAACGGCACCCAAACAGACCUCUGGAAUGAAAUAAUAUCGUAAGGCGGGGGUCCACUGUAUUUACAAAAGCAUUGACAGCAAGACCUCUCAAAUGCAUUUAUUAUCCACCUUUAGUUCAGAUGUUACUUAGAUUGAAUUUGCCAGGCACUCACAGGUUAUAGUCUUUCAGUAAGUAUUAAUCCUUUUUUUUUUUUUUUUUUUUCAUGCAAUAGGGUUUCACAUUUAUUAUGAAGAUAAAAAGGCAAUCCGUGGAAAGUUCUUUUACACGUCUUAUUGUAUUCUUGUUCAGAUUUAUAUGUAAUCUCAGACUCUUCAUUCCUACAUGGCCAAUAUUCUAUAGCUAAUUAUAUAUUUUUUUCCAGUGUUAGCAGUUUACUGCAUUUCUGAGUUUGAGAACUCUACUUUUGUCUUGAGUUUGUCUUUCUGUGCUAUUUAGAAACAAUAGUUUUCAUUUCCUCGAACUUAUGAUAGUGCUCAGUCAGUAAAAUAUAUAUGCACACCCACUAUGACUUGACCUGUAUCUCACACUAAUGUAUGGGAAUUCCAUUUUCAUCACAUUUUAUCUCUGUUUAUAAUUUGCAGCUGUUGUCUGUAUAAUAUAAAGUGCUGAAUACUUAAGAUACCAGUUGGUUUUAUUGGUUCUGUCUGAUUUAUUGUUGAAUACCUAUGGACUGCAGUUUCGGCAUUUAUAACUUACUAAAAAAUUCCAUCAAUUUGGUAGUUUGUAUUUUUGUCAGUGGCAGAGUGAAAAAAUGUCGCCUCACUUGCAGUCCUCAUAUGAUUUGGACAAAUUGUAUAAUCUGUCCUUUGUAGCUUUCACAUUCUUUGUCAUUAAGUAAUAUUCACUCUGUCCUAUCUAUCAGAGCAUCAGAAUUCACUUUCAGCAUCUUUAACGCAGACUAAAAAUCCUUCUUGCCGAAAGUCCUGCCUUUGAUGUAGAUUCCACCCUUAUUAAAAGACUUGCCUAAGUGAUAAUUUCUUAUCUUUACUAGGCUGAAUUUCAGUAACCCCAACUUAUACCACCAUGGCUCUUUAUGGUCCAAUUGGGUUUGGCACUUCUUUCAGAUAUAACAGUUGCCUCAUGCUUGUGGGAUCAUUUCUUUGGAGCCUGCAAAUUUUCUAUACUGUGUAACCUGUGUUGGUAAAAUAAACAUAUGUUCAUUACCCUUUGUAGAUUUCUUGUGAUGGUAAUUAAAGUUCAAAUCUAA